rnacentral:rRNA from 1 species
AGGACGAACGCUGGCGGCGUGCUUAACACAUGCAAGUCGAACGGUGAAGUUCUCUUCGGAGAGCGGAUCAGUGGCGAACGGGUGAGUAACACGUGAGCAACCUACCCCUGACUCUGGGAUAACUUCGGGAAACCGGAGCUAAUACCGGAUACGAACUUCGCAGACAUCUGCAGGAGUUGGAAAGAAUUUUGGUCAGGGAUGGGCUCGCGGCCUAUCAGCUAGUUGGUGAGGUAAUGGCUCACCAAGGCGACGGACGGGUAGCCGGCCUGAGA